rnacentral:rRNA from 1 species
CCUACGGGAGGCAGCAGUAAGGAAUAUUGGUCAAUGGAGGCAACUCUGAACCAGCCAUGCCGCGUGCAGGAAGACUGCCCUAUGGGUUGUAAACUGCUUUUAUCCGGGAAUAAACCUACUUACGUGUAAGUAGCUGAAUGUACCGGAAGAAUAAGGAUCGGCUAACUCCGUGCCAGCAGCCGCGGUAAUACGGAGGAUCCAAGCGUUAUCCGGAUUUAUUGGGUUUAAAGGGUGCGUAGGCGGCCUGUUAAGUCAGGGGUGAAAGACGGUAGCUCAACUAUCGCAGUGCCCUUGAUACUGAUGGGCUUGAAUGGACUAGAGGUAGGCGGAAUGAGACAAGUAGCGGUGAAAUGCAUAGAUAUGUCUCAGAACACCGAUUGCGAAGGCAGCUUACUAUGGUCUUAUUGACGCUGAGGCACGAAAGCGUGGGGAUCAAACAGGAUUAGAUACCCUGGUAGUCCACGACCUAACGAUANACACUCGCUGUUGUCG